CUAUUUUAUAUUUUUACUUAAUUUAUUUAUUUUCAAUUUCAAUUUUUAUUUCUGAUUUUUGCAUUUUUUCGUUGUUGCUGUUAAGAGAAAUGGAGUUUGAAGUUGAUAAUUUGUGUACUAGGAUUUAGGACAAGCUACUGUCAAGACAUUGUGUUCAUUAAUGUGACAUCCACAUAUUCCACACCAUCCAGGCUAUAAUACAAGAAUUGUGGUAAGUAUAUUUGAAUUUUUAGUUUUCUCCUAGAAAUUAGGGUUUGAUUUCAUUGCCUUGAAAUGUUAUUCACAAUCUGUUUCACAAGGAUACAUAUUUGAAGCAAAUAUCCAUUAUUUAAGUAGUCAAGUGAAUGGAAGAGACUUAGGAGCUAAGGUAAUAUUAACAAAGAGAUAUGAAACAAAGGAAGUGACCUCCAAGAAGACGAUUGGUUUGGGUGAUCAAGCAGAUGGUCUCUUUAGACUGAUGGUCAAUGGAACUCAUCCUGCUAUGCCUUGUCUACAUUCUUUGUUUUCAAAUAAAACUGUCAAUUUGACUUGUAAUAGUAGCCAUGUUAAUGCUACUUUUGCUAUACCUUUUUAUGCCUUAUGGCAUUUUAGAUUAGGGCACUUGUCUUGUCUCAUAGAAGACUUUCCCAUAUGAGACAAUUUUAGCAUAAAUAACAUAAAUUGGCAGAUAAGUUAGUGGAGACAACAUUAUAGACAAACGACUAUAUUUAGAAAUAGAGCAAGUGUGCCAAAGAUUAUUCAUUAUGUAGUUCUUCAUUAUA